rnacentral:rRNA from 1 species
UACGUAGGGGGCAAGCGUUGUCCGGAAUUAUUGGGCGUAAAGAGCGUGUAGGCGGUCCGGUAAGUCAGCUGUGAAAGUCAAGGGCUCAACCCUUGAAUGCCGGUUGAUACUGUCGGGCUAGAGUCCGGAAGAGGCGAGUGGAAUUCCCGGUGUAGCGGUGAAAUGCGCAGAUAUCAGGAAGAACACCAAUGGCGAAGGCAGCUCUCUGGGACGGUACUGACGCUGAGACGCGAAAGCGUGGGGGAGCGAACAGG